rnacentral:rRNA from 2 species
UCGGGAAUAUUGCACAAUGGGGGAAACCCUGAUGCAGCGACGCCGCGUAAAGGAAGAAGGUCUUCGGAUUGUAAACUUUUGUCGACAGGGAAGAGAACGGACAGUACCUGUGGAGGAAGCCCCGGCUAACUACGUGCCAGCAGCCGCGGUAAUACGUAGGGGGCAAGCGUUAUCCGGAAUUACUGGGUGUAAAGGGCGUGUAGGCGGGAGCUUAAGUCUGAUGUGAAAUACCAAGGCUCAACUUUGGAACUGCAUCGGAAACUGGGCACCUAGAGUGCAGGAGAGGAAAGCGGAAUUCUCAGUGUAGCGGUGAAAUGCGUAGAUAUUGAGAGGAACACCGGUGGCGAAGGCGGCUUUCUGGACUGUAACUGACGCUGAGGCGCGAAAGCGUGGGGAGCAAACAGG